GCACUAUAUCAAAUGCAAGGCUUAUUAUUAUCUCCUUGCCUACUGUAUAUACAGACUUGCCUUUUAAUCGUAGUCAUAGUGUUAAAGAGAUGCAUUGCUAUUGAGAACAACUGACUGAAAAAAAGUCUGAGGGUUUACAAGCUAUUCAGAAAGUUAACCAAAUUCCAUGACUUACUGGCAGGAAAAGUGAUAAUUUAAGGGUUUGAAAGAAUAAGUAACUAUUGGUCUGUGUACACUUGUAAGCUUACGAAUUUGUGAAGUAGUUUGAGAUGUUUGUUUAUGUGAAACAUAAAAAUGGCAUGCAUAUGGGGAAAAACCCACAAAUGAACACUUAAUGGAACUGGUUGGAUAGAGAUCAAAAGACAGAGAGGGAUGGGUCACAUACUUUUUCUGUUUUUUUAAAUUUUGUUCUUCAGUUAUUAAUGGGUGGUGUUUCAGUAAACUUUUGAGUUUAUAGUUUAUGAAUAUUUGAUCAGUCUUUUCUUAAUACAGUUUUGAAAUGCCACAUCUGAAUUUUCUGCUCAAAUAACCGUGGUAUUGCUGCGUCAAAUUUAUGCUGUAUGGAAUGCCUGAUUAUUUCUUGGUGAUCAUGAUAAUGGUAAUUAAUUCAUAAUUUUUUCAGGUUCAGAACCGAUUCCAAUUAUCUACAAUUUAAGAAGCUUCUCCAGUCUUGGCAUAGAUCCACACAUCAGGAUACACAGUCCAGUACUUGAGUUACCCAGGCAAAAUUGAAGUAUUGUAUAGUCCUGCAUCUCCCUUCCCACCAGUAUUACAAUUGAAAACGUACUUGAGAACCUCCUUCACAUCUGUUUUUCACCAUUGUCUGUGUCUUCCACUCUGCUCCAGCUCCAAACAAGCUGACAGCUUAUGUUGAAGAUCAGGGAAGCAAAAAAAAAAACCUAACCUCAUUGGCCAUUCUGCAGUCUGAAGAUGUGAGGUAAACAUUCCCUGGCAAUGGUUUCUGGAAAUCUGGGCAGUGGCUGAAACGUUUCUAUUAUUAAUCAAUAGCUUAAUGCAGUAGCAACAACAUGGAUUAAUUAAGUAUAGUCAAGAGACAGCAGAAUGUGUUUGAAUCUCAGAACAUUGCACAUAAUAAGACUUAAGUGUAGUGAUCUUUUCAUUUUAAUAUUUGAGCUGGAUUCUGUUUUAAUAGCAAUCUUAACUAAUGUCAUAGCAGUUCUAUUCACUCCUAAUAAAUUACAUAAUUCUAAUCGAAAUUUAAUUGACUGGAAAACUAAGAUUUAAAAAAAAUCUUUACUGUUACUUUGUAAUCUUCAAUUUCAAUCAAUCAUUUUCCUUUUUUUAAUUUUUCCUCUGGGUUAUACAACAUUAUGUAUUUAUCAUGCAAAAAAUUGUGCUGGACAUUUAGAGUGAAACAAAAGCAGAGCUGGGAAAAGUCAGCAGGUCAGGCAGCAUCUAUGGAGAAAGGAAAGUGAGUCAACGUUUCGGGUCCACAACACUUCAGAACAUUGCACGCAGCCUGAAUUGAUCAUCAAUAAUCCCCACUUUGACUUGUUUGAAGGUGUAUUCAGUAAAUUACAUUUCUAAUCUUGUGUCUGUUGCCCAUAUGAUAAUUCCACAUAACACGAUGAUGUUUGAAUAAAGAGGAUGAAAUGGGCGAAAAACAUUUUCUUAAUGUGACACAAA